GACGUGGGGGGCCAGCGUUGCUCGGAAUUACUGGGUGUAAAGGGUUCGUAGGCGGUGUGGCAAGUCGGAGGUGAAAUCUCUGGGCUUAACCCAGAGACUGCCCCCGAAACUGCCGUGCUUGAGUGUGGGAGAGGCGCGUGGAAUUGCAGGUGUAGCGGUGAAAUGCGUAGAUAUCUGCAGGAACACCCGGGGCGAAAGCGGCGCGCUGGACCACAACUGACGCUGAGGAACGAAAGCUAGGGGAGCAAACAGG
rnacentral:rRNA from 1 species